rnacentral:rRNA from 1 species
GUACACACCGCCCGUCACACCAUGGGAGUGGGUUGUACCAGAAGUAGGUAGAAUAACCGYAAGGGGUUCGCUUACCACGGUAUGAUUCAUGACUGGGGUGAAGUCGUAACAAGGUUUCCGUAGGUGAACCUGCAGAAGGAUCA